rnacentral:tRNA from 1 species
UGGGCCCUUAGCUCAAUCGGCAGAGCAGCGGACUCAUAAUCCGUCGGUUCCAGGUUCGAGUCCUGGAGGGCCCAG